rnacentral:rRNA from 1 species
AGUCAUAUGCUUGUCUCAAAGAUUAAGCCAUGCAUGUCUCAGUACAAGCCGAAUUAAGGUGAAACCGCGAAAGGCUCAUUAAAUCAGUUAUGGUUCCUUAGAUCGUACCCACAUUUACUUGGAUAACUGUGGUAAUUCUAGAGCUAAUACAUGCAAACAGAGCUCCGACCGGAGACGGAAGGAGCGCUUUUAUUAGAUCAAAACCAAUCGGCGGCGGUCCGCGAGGUCCGUCGUCGUACAACUUGGCGAAUCUGAAUAACUUUCUGCUGAUCGCACGGUCUCGCACCGGCGACGCAUCUUUCAAAUGUCUGCCUUAUCAACUGUCGAUGGUAGGUUCUGCGCCUACCAUGGUUGUAACGGGUAACGGGGAAUCAGGGUUCGAUUCCGGAGAGGGAGCCUGAGAAACGGCUACCACAUCCAAGGAAGGCAGCAGGCGCGCAAAUUACCCACUCCCGGCACGGGGAGGUAGUGACGAAAAAUAACGAUACGGGACUCAUCCGAGGCCCCGUAAUCGGAAUGAGUACACUCUAAACCCUUUAACGAGGAUCAAUUGGAGGGCAAGUCUGGUGCCAGCAGCCGCGGUAAUUCCAGCUCCAAUAGCGUAU